rnacentral:rRNA from 1 species
UGGGGAAUAUUGCACAAUGGGCGCAAGCCUGAUGCAGCCAUGCCGCGUGUAUGAAGAAGGCCUUCGGGUUGUAAAGUACUUUCAGCGAGGAGGAAGGCGGUAAGGUUAAUAACCUUAUCGAUUGACGUUACUCGCAGAAGAAGCACCGGCUAACUCCGUGCCAGCAGCCGCGGUAAUACGGAGGGUGCAAGCGUUAAUCGGAAUUACUGGGCGUAAAGCGCACGCAGGCGGUGUGUCAAGUCGGAUGUGAAAUCCCCGGGCUCAACCUGGGAACUGCAUUCGAAACUGGCAGGCUAGAGUCUUGUAGAGGGGGGUAGAAUUCCAGGUGUAGCGGUGAAAUGCGUAGAGAUCUGGAGGAAUACCGGUGGCGAAGGCGGCCCCCUGGACAAAGACUGACGCUCAGGUGCGAAAGCGUGGGGAGCAAACA